rnacentral:lncRNA from 1 species
CGCUGGUCCCCGGCAACACGGCUCAGGCAAACGUAAGCGGCUUGUCGCAGAAACCAAGGGGUCCACGAAACGCGCUAGGCUAGAAGGCGGGAAGGAGAGAUUACUGACAGCCGUGCCAGCCAAUAAAAUAGAAAUCAACAGAGAGCUCAGAAAUUCCCAGACUGUUUUGAUGAUAAGGUCCAAGAACUUGCCAUGUGAUCUAUCACUACUAGACUCCCACAACUGCAUUAGAUUUGUUCAGGAUUUUCAUAUAAUUUUCAUAACUGGCUAAGGGUAACUUGGUCACAAAAAAUGAAACAUUGUUGUAAGAAUAUAUCAAGGAAAGUGGAGCGAAAGGCCAGUAGGAAAACCAAGACUCUCUGGAGAAGUCAACAGGGCAUAGCUAUAUUUUAUACAGGGGCCAUGUUGAAUGUGAAAGACAACGUGUUCAAAACUGCGCUCAUAUUCAAUGAUUCUGAAAUAACCCAUCUUGAAGACAUAAACAAUGUGCAUUGAUGGCUAGCCAGACUCUGUCCUGCCACGGUUCUCCUCCUACUCUUCAUUUCUUACCCCAAGGAGUAGUAAACAUGAAUCCUGACCCACCAAUGCAGUCCCAGAACUGAGAAAAGAUUCACUGCAGCUAAACAGUAGGUAGAAAUAAAAACAAUGACUCAAUUCAAUAAUAUUAAGUGUGUUGGGAAGACAGUCUCCAAGAGAAAUGAUAAAUAACCUACAUAAUGAAGAAUUAGUUAGCAGUGUUAUGUAAAUA